rnacentral:rRNA from 1 species
AACGUUUACGGGGUGGACUACCAGGGUAUCUAAGCCUGUUUGCUCCCCACCCUUUCGCUCCUCAGCGUCAGUAACGGCCCAGAGAUCUGCCUUCGCCAUCGGUGUUCCUCCUGAUAUCUGCGCAUUCCACCGCUACACCAGGAAUUCCAAUCUCCCCUACCGCACUCUAGUCUGCCCGUACCCACUGCAAGCCCGAGGUUGAGCCUCGGGAUUUCACAGCAGACGCGACAGACCGCCUACGAGCUCUUUACGCCCAAUAAUUCCGGAUAACGCUUGCGCCCUACGUAUUACCGCGGCUGCUGGCACGUAGUUAGCCGGCGCUUUUUCUGCAGGUACCGUCACCCGAAGGCUUCUUCCCUACCAAAAGAGGUUUACAACCCGAAGGCCGUCAUCCCUCACGCGGCGUUGCUGCAUCAGGCUUUCGCCCAUUGUGCAAUAUUCCCCACUGCUGCCUCCCGUAGGAGUCUGGGCCGUGUCUCAGUCCCAGUGUGGCCGGUCACCCUCUCAGGCCGGCUACCCGUCGACGCCUUGGUGAGCCAUUACCUCACCAACAAGCUGAUAGGCCGCGAGCCCAUCCCAGACCGAAAAAUCUUUCCAAACACGACCAUGCGAUCGCAUCUCAUAUCCAGUAUUAGACGCCGUUUCCAGCGCUUAUCCCAGAGUCCAGGGCAGGUUGCUCACGUGUUACUCACCCGUUCGCCACUGAUCCACAGAGCAAGCUCUGCUUCACCGUUCGACUUGCAUGUGUUAAGCACGCCGCCAGCGUUCAUCCUGAGCCAU